AACGGCCAUACCAUGCUGAAUAUACCGGUUCUCGUUAGAUCUCCGUGGUCAGUACUUGGGUGGGUGAGCACCUGGGAACACCGCGUGCCGUU